rnacentral:rRNA from 1 species
GUGAACGCUGGCGGUAGGCCUAACACAUGCAAGUCGAACGGCAGCACAGUAAGAGCUUGCUCUUACGGGUGGCGAGUGGCGGACGGGUGAGGAAUACAUCGGAAUCUACUUUUUCGUGGGGGAUAACGUAGGGAAACUUACGCUAAUACCGCAUACGACCUACGGGUGAAAGCAGGGGAUCUUCGGACCUUGCGCGAUUGAAUGAGCCGAUGUCGGAUUAGCUAGUUGGCGGGGUAAAGGCCCACCAAGGCGACGAUCCGUAGCUGGUCUGAGAGGAUGAUCAGCCACACUGGAACUGAGACACGGUCCAGACUCCUACGGGAGGCAGCAGUGGGGAAUAUUGGACAAUGAGCGCAAGCCUGAUCCAGCCAUACCGCGUGGGUGAAGAAGGCCUUCGGGUUGUAAAGCCCUUUUGUUGGGAAAGAAAAGCAGCAGGUUAAUACCCCGCUGUUCUGACGGUACCCAAAGAAUAAGCACCGGCUAACUUCGUG